rnacentral:rRNA from 1 species
GAGAGUGGAACUCCAUGUGUAGCGGUGAAAUGCGUAGAUAUAUGGAAGAACACCAGUGGCGAAAGCGGCUCUCUGGUCUGUAACUGACGCUGAGGUUCGAAAGCGUGGGUAGCAAACAGGAUUAGAUCCCCUGGUAGUCCACGCCGUAAACGAUGAAUGCUAGGUGUUGGAGGGUUUCCGCCCUUCAGUGCCGCAGCUAACGCAAUAAGCAUUCCGCCUGGGGAGUACGAC